UUGAAUAGGUAAACUAGCAUCCCAUAAAU
rnacentral:sRNA from 1 species